rnacentral:rRNA from 1 species
AGCGGCGGACGGGUGAGUAAUGCCUAGGAAAUUGCCCUGAUGUGGGGGAUAACCAUUGGAAACGAUGGCUAAUACCGCAUAAUGCCUACGGGCCAAAGAGGGGGACCUUCGGGCCUCUCGCGUCAGGAUAUGCCUAGGUGGGAUUAGCUAGUUGGUGAGGUAAGGGCUCACCAAGGCGACGAUCCCUAGCUGGUCUGAGAGGAUGAUCAGCCACACUGGAACUGAGACACGGUCCAGACUCCUACGGGAGGCAGCAGUGGGGAAUAUUGCACAAUGGGCGCAAGCCUGAUGCAGCCAUGCCGCGUGUGUGAAGAAGGCCUUCGGGUUGUAAAGCACUUUCAGUCGUGAGGAAGGUAGUGUAGUUAAUAGCUGCAUUAUUUGACGUUAGCGGCAGAAGAAGCACCGGCUAACUCCGUGCCAGCAGCCGCGGUAAUACGGAGGGUGCGAGCGUUAAUCGGAAUUACUGGGCGUAAAGCGCAUGCAGGUGGUUUGUUAAGUCAGAUGUGAAAGCCCGGGGCUCAACCUCGGAAUUGCAUUUGAAACUGGCAGA